rnacentral:tRNA from 1 species
GGUGGGGUGGCCGAGUGGUUAAUGGCAGCAGACUGUAAAUCUGCCCGCGAGAGCGUACGAUAGUUCGAAUCUAUCCCCCACCA